rnacentral:sRNA from 1 species
AGUAAUCAGAUUGGACUGUUAAAAUAGCAAAUGAAAAUCAGAAGGGAGGUGCAGUGACAGCGAACCCACUUUUUCCCUUUGGACCCCAGUUAUGAAAAAAAAAUUGGAAACUGAACUUGUGACCUAUAAGAUGACCCUAGACCCAAGAGGCUUGGUUGAAGAGAGGGCACAGCUCAGUUCUAGCACAGCCAAUGUUUAAGGAAUGCAAGCCUAGUGGAAUCAGAAUAGAGAAAAGUUCUCAUUCUGCACAUACAGCAUUCAGAGCCUCGUCAUCAUACAUUAUAGAUGGUAUAGCAUCCAGCCAGGUGCUGAUGUUAUAAAAAAUGAUGGAAUUUACUCGAGGUAUUUUUUCUCCUUUGCUGCAAAUGGUAGAUAUAGCUUGAAAGUGCAUGUCAAUCACUCUCCCAGCAUAAGCACCCUAGCCCACUCUAUUCCAGGGAGUCAUGCUAUGUAUGUACCAGGUUACACAGCAAACGGUAAUAUUCAGAUGAAUGCUCCAAGGAAAUCAGUAGGCAGAAAUGAGGAGGAGCGAAAGUGGGGCUUUAGCCGAGUCAGCUCAGGAGGCUCCUUUUCAGUGCUGGGAGUUCCAGCGGGCCCCCACCCUGAUGUGUUUCCACCAUGCAAAAUUAUUGACCUGGAAGCUGUAAGAGUAGAAGAGGAAUUGACCCUAUCUUGGACAGCACCUGGAGAAGACUUUGAUCAGGGCCAGG